rnacentral:rRNA from 1 species
GAUGAACGCUGGCGGCGUGCUUAACACAUGCAAGUCGAACGGAAAGGCUCCUGCUUGCAGGGGUACUCGAGUGGCGAACGGGUGAGUAACACGUGGGUGAUCUGCCCUGCACUUCGGGAUAAGCCUGGGAAACUGGGUCUAAUACCGGAUAGGACGAUGGUUUGGAUGCCAUUGUGGAAAGUUUUUCGAUGUGGGAUGAGCUCGCGGCCUAUCAGCUUGUUGGUGGGGUAAUGGCCUACCAAGGCGUCGACGGGUAGCCGGCCUGAGAGGGUGUACGGCCACAUUGGGACUGAGAUACGGCCCAGACUCCUACGGGAGGCAGCAGUGGGGAAUAUUGCACAAUGGGCGCAAGCCUGAUGCAGCGACGCCGCGUGGGGGAUGACGGCCUUCGGGUUGUAAACUCCUUUCGCUAGGGACGAAGCGCAAGUGACGGUACCUGGAGAAGAAGCACCGGCUAACUACGUG